GCCCCGGCUAACUACGUGCCAGCAGCCGCGGUAAUACGUAGGGGGCGAGCGUUGUCCGGAAUUAUUGGGCGUAAAGGGUUCGUAGGCGGUUUUUUAAGUCAGAUGUGAAAGGCGCAGGCUCAACCUGUGUAAGCAUUUGAAACUGAAAGACUUGAGUUAAGGAGAGGAAAGUGGAAUUCCUAGUGUAGCGGUGAAAUGCGUAGAUAUUAGGAGGAAUACCAGUGGCGAAGGCGACUUUCUGGACUUAUACUGACGCUGAGGAACGAAAGCGUGGGGAGCAAACAGGAUUAGAUACCCUGGUAGUCCACGCCGUAAACGAUGAGUGCUAGGUGUUGGGGGUCAAACCUCGGUGCCGCAGCUAACGCAUUAAGCACUCCGCCUGGGGAGUACGUACGCA
rnacentral:rRNA from 1 species